rnacentral:rRNA from 1 species
AAUGUGAGAUGCAGUGUAUGGAGUGUCAAAUUUCUAGUAUGAGAAAUUAACGAUUUAAGUCCUUCUUAAAUGAGGCCAUUUACCUAUAGAGGGUGCCAGGCCCGUAUAACGUUAAUGAUUACUAGAUGACAUUUCCAAAGAGUCGUGUUGCUUGAUAGUGCAGCACUAAGUGGGUGGUAAACUCCAUCUAAAACUAAAUAUAACCAUGAGACCGAUAGUAAACAAGUACCGUGAGGGAAAGUUGAAAAGAACUCUGAAUAGAGAGUUAAAUAGUACGUGAAACUGCUUAGAGGUUAAGCCCGAUGAACCUGAAUAUCAGUUAUGGAAAAUUCAUCAUUAUGAUUUUAAUAUAUUAUAAUAAUGAUGUGCAUUUUUUCUAUAAAUGACAUUGUAAUCUAUUAACAUAUAAUAUUUAUCAAAAGAUCAGCGCAAGUUUAUUCAAAUUAUUUUGCUUGCAAUUUAAUAUAGAAUAAAUGCUUUUGAUUUGAUAAAGUGUUGAUAGUUUUAAUAUAGUGCUUAAAUAAUAUUUUAUAAUGGCAUAUAAAUCAUUGAUUUUUAUGUUUAUUAUAUGCGCUUAUAUGAUUAACAAUGCGAAAGAUUCAGGAUACCUUCGGGACCCGUCUUGAAACACGGACCAAGGAGUCUAACAUAUAUGCAAGUUAUUGGGUAAAAACCUAAUAGCAAAAUUAACAUAACAUAAUGGGAUUAGUUUUUAGUCUAUUAAUUCAAUCCCGGGGCGUUCUAUACAGUUAUGUAUAAUAAUAUUUAUAUUAUUUAUACCUCUAACUAGAACGUACCUUGAGCAUAUAUGCUGUGACCCGAAAGAUGGUGAACUAUACUUGAUCAGGUUGAAGUCAGGGGAAACCCUGAUGG